AAUCAACGCUGGCGGCGUGCCUCAGACAUGCAAGUCGUACGAUUAAAGCUCUCUUCGGAGAGUGUAUAGAGUGGCGCACGGGUGAGUAACACGUAAGUAAUCUACCUUCGAGUGGGGAAUAACAGUCGGAAACGACUGCUAAUACCGCAUAAUGCAGCGGCACCUAAUGGUGACAGUUGUCAAAGCAUUUAUGUGCUUGAAGAGGAGCUUGCGGCAGAUUAGCUAGUUGGUAAGGUAAUAGGCUUACCAAGGCAACGAUCUGUAGCCGACCUGAGAGGGUGGUCGGUCACACUGACACUGAAUAACGGGUCAGACUCCUACGGGAGGCAGCAGUCGGGAAUUUUGGGCAAUGGGCGAAAGCCUGACCCAGCAACGCCGCGUGAAGGAUGAAGUAUUUCGGUAUGUAAACUU
rnacentral:rRNA from 1 species